UACGUAGGGGGCGAGCGUUGUCCGGAUUUAUUGGGCGUAAAGAGCUCGUAGGCGGUUUGUCGCGUCUGCUGUGAAAUCCCGAGGCUCAACCUCGGGUCUGCAGUGGGUACGGGCAGACUGGAGUGCGGUAGGGGAGAAUGGAAUUCCUGGUGUAGCGGUGGAAUGCGCAGAUAUCAGGAGGAACACCGAUGGCGAAGGCAGUUCUCUGGGCCGUAACUGACGCUGAGGAGCGAAAGCGUGGGGAGCGAACAGG
rnacentral:rRNA from 1 species